AGAGUUGAUCCUGGCUUAGGAUGAACGCUAGCUACAGGCUUAACACAUGCAAGUCGAGGGGCAGCAUGUCGUGUGCUGCACACGAUGAUGGCGACCGGCGCACGGGUGAGUAACGCGUAUCCAACCUGCCCAUGACCCUGGGAUAGCCCGCUGAAAAGCGGAUUAACACCGGAUGGGGUCGAACGAGGACAUCUGAUUUCGACCAAAGCUUCGGCGGUCAUGGAUGGGGAUGCGUCUGAUUAGCUUGUUGGCGGGGUAACGGCCCACCAAGGCUACGAUCAGUAGGGGUUCUGAGAGGAAGGUCCCCCACAUUGGAACUGAGACACGGUCCAAACUCCUACGGGAGGCAGCAGUGAGGAAUAUUGGUCAAUGGGCGGAAGCCUGAACCAGCCCAAGUAGCGUGGAGGAAGACGGCCCUAUGGGUUGUAAACUCCUUUUUUGCGGGGAUAAAGUGCCCUACGCGUAGGGUAUUGCAGGUACCGCACGAAUAAGGACCGGCUAAUUCCGUGCCAGCCGCCGC
rnacentral:rRNA from 1 species